rnacentral:rRNA from 1 species
GACGUAGGGCGCGAGCGUUGUCCGGAUUUAUUGGGCGUAAAGAGCUCGUAGGCGGCUUGUCGCGUCGACUGUGAAAACCCGCGGCUCAACUGCGGGCCUGCAGCCGAUACGGGCAGGCUAGAGUUCGGUAGGGGAGACUGGAAUUCCUGGUGUAGCGGUGAAAUGCGCAGAUAUCAGGAGGAACACCUAUGGCGAAGGCAGCACUCUGGGACGGUACUGACGCUGAGACGCGAAAGCGUGGGGAGCGAACAGG